CCAGGGGACACAAGAUUUGCAAUCUCUACUCCAAGGCUCUUUUCAUCAUCAGACGAUGCCUGCGAAUUGGAUGAAAAUAAAUAUCAAAACUAUUGCGGGUGUAAUGAAACGAGCCAAGCCUACAACGCCAUUCCAUAGAUUGUUUACCUUAGUCCAGAUCGGAUAACCCUUCUCGGUCAAGAACUUUUGAGCCACGUUCAUCGCUUCAAGUUUCUCAGCUUUAGUACAUCCUCGGCCGAUCCAAACAAAGAGUCCCGAUCCUGCAGUAUCGAGGAUAAAGCAAUCCUGGGCCACACUGCAAAAUUUUGGAUGCAACUUAUGCGCAAAGCAGAGACUCACCGAAUUUUCGCUUUCAUCGUUCUUCCGAAAUCAAACAGUUAAUUGUUGGCGUAUUAGUGAAAGCAAGAAGCGCAAUAAAAAAAAAAAAAAUCAAACGGUUAAUGCGUUUAGUGUCACAAGCAAAUUUCUCGUGAAAAGUAUUGCUGCAAUGGUUUUUGCCCAAUUUCUUCAAUCACCAGUUGACCGCUAGCAUCGCUCACGCGGAACAAUAUUACUGACGACUAGAGUAUUAAAGAAAGAUUACGAGGGAUUCUCCUCGAUUUAACAAUGUUAAUUGAAUU